AGGAUUCCGCAACAGGAUGCUGGCGUCAGGAUGACGAACAACGGAUUACGGCCAGGCUGGCCCGCCAGGGGAAGCGGCGUUAAAAGGGAAAAGGAAAGCGACACGGAACGUUGCAGGCUAAGGGAAAGACAGGGGUUGUCGAAAAGCGACAGGGACGGAAAAACCGGUGACCGGUAUAGAGUCAGGAAAAAGGGCGACAGGUAAAUAAUCUGUCGCCUUUUUUCUUUGCUUGCUU
rnacentral:sRNA from 1 species